UACACUCCUGCGGGAGGCAGCAGUGGGGAAUAUUGGACAAUGGGCGCAAGCCUGAUCCAGCCAUGCCGCGUGAGUGAUGAAGGCCCUAGGGUUGUAAAGCUCUUUCACCGGAGAAGAUAAUGACGGUAUCCGGAGAAGAAGCCCCGGCUAACUUCGUGCCAGCAGCCGCGGUAAUCCGAAGGGGGCCAGCGUUGUUCGGAAUUACUGGGCGUAAAGCGCACGUAGGCGGAUCGAUCAGUCAGGGGUGAAAUCCCAGGGCUCAACCCUGGAACUGCCUUUGAUACUGUCGAUCUGGAGUAUGGAAGAGGUGAGUGGAAUUCCGAGUGUAGAGGUGAAAUUCGUAGAUAUUCGGAGGAACACCAGUGGCGAAGGCGGCUCACUGGUCCAUUACUGACGCUGAGGUGCGAAAGCGUGGGGAGCAAACAGGAUUAGAAACCCCGGUAGUCCCAUG
rnacentral:rRNA from 1 species